rnacentral:lncRNA from 1 species
CUGAAGAAUGAAUGAGGGUGUAUUUCCUGUGUGCCUUGUAGGGGUUUCUGUUUCAUCUUCCUUCUCAUUGACUGGAAUAUUAGACUAUGACCUCCUGUUCUUGCCUUUUUAGCACAUCCCGCAUUUUCUCAGGAUGUUAUCCUCAUCUCUACGAUAGAAAACGGCUCACCACUAAGUUCACAUUCCAGACAGCAGGAAAGGGAUAAAACAAAAAGGGAAGAUACCGCCUUCCUUUAAUGAGACAGCCCUUUUAGAUGUUCUCUUUUUGCCCUUUCGUGAUGACCUGCCUAAGACUUGCAUACAGUUUGGAAUGGAAUGCCUGGGCUCAAAGGCUACAGCCCACAGGUCAGCAUCUGACAUUUUCAUGCACACCGUGUACAGCUCCCUGUGUGGUGGAAUGUGUCAUGUCAGAACAUGAAGAUCUGUGACAAGGCCUGGCAAUGGCUUUGACAGAGAAACUUCUCAGAAAAACUUGCCUGUCUUUUUCUAAUGAGGAAAUCCCAAAAAGAGAAGCUGAAACUUUCCUGUUGUAGAAGGGUAAUAAGUAAGCUGUGGAGAAAAUUGGACAAAUGCAGAAAUCUAUAUAAAGCAAGUGUGACUUUUUCCCGGGAGAAGAUCUUGCCAGAAAACAUGGUGGUCGUAUCAUAUCUGAUUGACUGGUGCAAAACAUGGACUAGGUAAGAAUGGGUACCAGGAAUUUCCUAGAGGACUUAUGGUGGGGCUACAGCUUGACUGCUAAGUCUCCCCGCUGGUUCCUGCUUAUGUGCUUGUAAGGGUCACUCGCAGGGAGAGCCUGGGGCAUGCACAGCUUGUUUUCCUCUCCUCCCUUGCUCAUGACUAUGUUUAGCUCCCAAGCAGGAAGAGGCUGAAUAGCUGUAAGAAAAUCUAAGAGAUUUGUUUGUAUGUCCCUGCCAUCAGAGGAUGGAGUCUUAGAUAAUGGGACUACAAAACGACAUAAUUAAUUUUCCAUCAACUUUUUCCAAGGACUUUCAAAUUUAUUUUAUGUCCUAAAUUUAUUCACCUUCACUGCCAUUCUGUUUUCAGAUUUUCUGUCCAAUCAUGGUACAGUAGCAAAAGUGCCAAACUUGGACUCAAUAAACUAGUUUU